UUGAUCCAUGCUGCUUUUAUUUAUUUUUGUGGACUUUGUCUUCUGUGCUUGAGAACUUCUGCUGCAGUGCUGUUGUUCUUGGCUAGUUGCUGAUUGCCAGAGCAGAGUUCUAUGUUGUUGAUUGGCAGCUCUGAUCACAUGGCUGGAGGUUCUUGUCUGUAGAUUGCCUAUAGCGUGAACUGGUCUCACCAUUUUCCUGGAAGUCAAUCUCUUUAGGUUCUUUUUGUUUGUCAGAAAGCUUUACUGAGGUUUAUUUGAUACACAAUGAUCGUAUCAUUAUGGCUACAAGAAAAGUAAUCAACAAAGUAUACACUUGGAUAAAUGUUGACAUAAGUAUAUACCUGUAAAACUAUCACUACAAUCAAGAUAAUGAACAUGUCCACGUGCUCCCAAAGUUUCUGCACAAUCCUUCCCAUCCUUCCUUGUUCUUGGAACUGCUAAUCAACUAUAGGUUAGUUUGCAUUUUCUGGAAUUUUAUAUUAAUAGAAUCAUAUAGUGUGGACUCUCUUUGGAGUUUAGUUUCCUUCACUUGGCAUAAUUAUUUUGAGAUUCACCCUUGUUGUGGCAUGUAUCAAUAGUUUAUUCUUAUUUAUUGCUGACUAGUAUUUCAUUGUAUGGGCAUACCACAGUAUGUUUAUUCCUUCAGCUCGUGGUGGAUAUUUAUAUUGUUUCCAGCUUUUUGCCUAUUGUUUUUAAAAGCUGCUAUAAAAAUUGUAUUCAUGUCUUUGCAUGAACAUAUGCUUUUAUUUAUCUUGAGUAAAUGCCUAGGAGUAGAGUGGCUGUAUCAUAAGGUAGAUGUAUAUUUAACUGUUUACGAAACUUGCUGACCAUUUUCCAAUGUGGUUGUAUACUUUACAUUCCCACCAGCAAUGUAUGGGAGUCUAUUCCUCCACAUUCACACCAAUGCUCGAUAUGGUCAGUCUUUAAUUUUAGCCAUUCUAAAAUGUUUGUAGAGUAUCUCAUUGUGUUUUUAAUUUUAAUUAAAUUUCUGAAAUAACAAAUUAUAUUGAGCAUCUUUGUAUGUGCCUAUUUGCUAUACAAUAGUUCCCACCUCAUUUGUAGUCUUACUUUCCAGUUUCAGCUACCUUUGGUCAACUGCAAUCCAAAAAUAUUAAAUGGAAAAUUCCGUAAAUAAACAAUUCAUAAGUUUUAAAUUACAAGCCCUUCUGAGUAGCAUGAUGAAAUUUUGUGCCAUUCAAUCCCGGAUGUGACUCAUCCCUUUGUCCAGCAUAUCCACAAUGCCUAUGCUACCCACUUGUUAGUCACUUAGCUGCCCUGGCUAUAAGAUUAACUUUCUUGGUACUGCAGUGCUUGUGUUCUGGAAACCCUCAUUUUACUUAAUAAAGGUUCCAAAGCACAAGAGUAGUGAUGCUGGCAUAUUUUUAUAAUUGUUCUAAUUGCACCAUAAGUUAUUACUGUGAAU
rnacentral:lncRNA from 10 species